GCACUGGUGGUUUAGCGGUAGAAUUCUCGCCUGCUACGCGGGAGGCCCGUGUUCGAUUCCCGGCCAGUGCA
rfam:Nematostella vectensis strain CH2 x CH6 NEMVEscaffold_870_Cont33579, whole genome shotgun sequence.